rnacentral:rRNA from 1 species
UACGUAGGGUGCAAGCGUUGUCCGGAAUUAUUGGGCGUAAAGAGCUCGUAGGCGGUCAGUCGCGUCUGCUGUGAAAACUCGGGGCUUAACCCCGAGCCUGCAGUGGAUACGGGCAGACUAGAGGUAGGUAGGGGAGAAUGGAAUUCCCGGUGUAGCGGUGAAAUGCGCAGAUAUCGGGAGGAACACCGGUGGCGAAGGCGGUUCUCUGGGCCUUACCUGACGCUGAGGAGCGAAAGCGUGGGGAGCGAACAGG